GACGAACGCUGGCGGCGUGCUUAACACAUGCAAGUCGAACGGAAAGGCCCCUUUGGGGGUACUCGAGUGGCGAACGGGUGAGUAACACGUGAGUAACCUGCCCUUGACUUCGGGAUAACUUCAGGAAACUGGGGCUAAUACCGGAUAGGAAUCCUUGCUGCAUGGUGGGGGUUGGAAAGCUUCGGCGGUUUUGGAUGGACUCGCGGCUUAUCAGCUUGUUGGUGGGGUAGUGGCUUACCAAGGCUUUGACGGGUAGCCGGCCUGAGAGGGCGACCGGCCACAUUGGGAAUGAGAUACGGCCCAGACUCCUACGGGGGGCAGCAGUGGGGGAUAUUGCAAAAUGGGCGGAAGCCUGAUGCAGCAACGCCGCGUGCGGGAUGACGGCCUUCGGGUUGUAAACCGCUUUCAGCAGGGGCGAAGCUUGUGGUGACGGUACCUGCAGAAGAAGCACCGGCUAACUACGUG
rnacentral:rRNA from 1 species